GGGCUAUAGUAGCAACAGCAGCCUCAGCAGCCAGGCAGCAGGGCUAUAGCUUGCAGCCAAGCAGACCGCCGCCGCCUCAUCACNNNNNNNNNNCACACACACACACACACACACACACACACACACACACACACACACACACAAUUGCACAUACUUCCCGAAUCAACGCGUUGUCACACAAAUCCUGGACCAUGACAGAUGAGAGAAGAGCAAUAGGCACGGACAACAGGUAUUUCCUCUCUGACAAAUUCAGUUUCAUUCCCGAUGCUUAUUGGUUUUCAUAAGGAAAGAAGCCUAAGCGAUACCUAGCCUGUGCGGACUACCAGAGGACUGGAGGUGGCCUCGGCAGGGGAGGGUGAAGUGGGAGGAGUGAGAUGUGGGGAAGAGAAGAAGCCAAAAUUGACUUUCAGGCUCCGGAAGCCUACAGCUCUCAGCCUCCGCUGUUUUUGAGUUGCAAAUGAUCUGGGAGUGGUGGGUUGCAGGCAGCCCGUGCCAUCGCCUGGAAGAAGACUUCCAUCUUUCAGUCACUAGUUCCAACGGGCCGUGUGUUCUGGAAGGGGGUGGCAGCAGGGAGGAGGAUGCUCUGAGCAGAGUUCUUGAAGCUUUGCUCUUGGGGGAAGCCGGGCUGUGUGGGAGCCUUCUGACUGAGCUGAGAGCGUGUGAAUUGGAAAGGAUCCUGAGAGCUGGCUGGUCCCAGUUCAUCUCCGGAAAAGCUGUCGCUCUCGCUUCAGAGAUGCGCCUAGCCUUCGCCUGCAUCACGCUGCAACUGCCGCACAUGCCUAUAUGCCCACCAUUGAUUAAAGCUGAUUAUCAACAAUCACCGAAGUUCUGAUCAGUUAACCAGCUUGUAUAAGGCUCAUUGUAAGGUACAGCUCUUUCUGGAAAUGUUAUUGACAUUAUAAAAUCUCGAAAGGACACUGAGGAAUGUAAAUACUGAAACAGAAAUGAACAAGACUGGUGACUUAUGCAAGUGAUAAUUAUUAAGUAAUACGAAGGCCAA
rnacentral:lncRNA from 1 species